rnacentral:rRNA from 1 species
UGGGGAAUAUUGGACAAUGGGCGAAAGCCUGAUCCAGCCAUGCCGCGUGUGUGAAGAAGGUCUUCGGAUUGUAAAGCACUUUAAGUUGGGAGGAAGGGCAGUUACCUAAUACGUGAUUGUUUUGACGUUACCGACAGAAUAAGCACCGGCUAACUCUGUGCCAGCAGCCGCGGUAAUACAGAGGGUGCAAGCGUUAAUCGGAAUUACUGGGCGUAAAGCGCGCGUAGGUGGUUAGUUAAGUUGGAUGUGAAAUCCCCGGGCUCAACCUGGGAACUGCAUUCAAAACUGACUGACUAGAGUAUGGUAGAGGGUGGUGGAACUUCCUGUGUAGCGGUGAAAUGCGUAGAUAUAGGAAGGAACACCAGUGGCGAAGGCGACCACCUGGACUGAUACUGACACUGAGGUGCGAAAGCGUGGGGAGCAAACAGGAUUAGAUACCCGUGUAGUCCCUGAGCGGGCUGGCAAGGCGCAU